rnacentral:rRNA from 1 species
UACGUAGGGUGCGAGCGUUAAUCGGAAUUACUGGGCGUAAAGCGUGCGCAGGCGGUUCGUUAAGUUCGUUGUGAAAGCCCCGGGCUCAACCUGGGAACUGCAUUUGUGACUGCAAGGCUAGAGUACGGUAGAGGGGGAUGGAAUUCCGCGUGUAGCAGUGAAAUGCGUAGAUAUGCGGAGGAACACCGAUGGCGAAGGCAAUCCCCUGGACCUGUACUGACGCUCAUGCACGAAAGCGUGGGGAGCAAACAGG